CAAAGGCCAUCAAAUGUCUCCUGAGGGAGAAUGAACUCUUAAUUCUAUUCAUUAUAAUGCCUCCUCAUAAAAACAUGAAAUAACAUCCUCUUAAAUAACACAACUUGUUUUUAACUUAGGUCAAAUAAAAACAUACCGUAUUCAUUUUCAUGUUAUAUUUUUACCCAUGCAUAACGCCACCUGCUGUCUCAGAGUAAGUAGUGAAUGGUUCACAUCAUGGCAGCCCUCCCUUCUCCAUUUGUGUGUAGUUUGUCAUUCCCUGUCUGUCUGAUCCUCAUGUUUCUCUCCCCUGUCUGUUGUCCUGUGUGAGUGUGGUGGGCGUGGCUUUCUCUUCACAGGCAGCUCCAGGUGAAUCUCAUUUCAUGAUCAGGACUCACUCCAUAAAGACUUCUCUCUGCACUCUGCUAGACACCAGAUUGUUUCAUCAGCUCGUGUGGUAUCAUGGCCUUACUUGCAUUGUGCUCCUGUGCUCUCUUCACUGCUUGCCUGCCAUUUGCUCUCCUGUGCACCUUUUGGACGACAAACUGGGAUUCACAGAACACUGCCACAGUCACUCGUCUACUCACCUGCCACGUUGGAUCCUGGGACACUGCACUAGCCCUCCCAGGACUGCCCCUGGUCAGGGUGAGGCCCUAAGCAAAAUGUGUUAAGGAGGUCCCCCACGGGCCAACACACAGUUAUUGGAGCACCUAAAUAACAAGUCCAUUACAAAAUGUCUUUUUAACUUAACAACCUUUAUUUGUAAGAACAAAUUGUAACUUUGACAAUGGUGGUAAUGUGCAGGAUGCUGCGUCUGUACAACUGCUGUGUGAUGUGUCUAUACUAGACCUGCUGGUUGCUGCCUCUGGGCCUGCUGAUGAAUCAUCUGCAUCUCCUCCACACAUUUUAGCAUUGACCCUGUUAUGAGAAGAAAUCUGAAAUAAAACCAUCUUAAAGCAGA